CGCGGCCUAUCAGCUUGUUGGUGGGGUAGUGGCCUACCAAGGCGACGACGGGUAGCCGGCCUGAGAGGGUGACCGGCCACACUGGGACUGAGACACGGCCCAGACUCCUACGGGAGGCAGCAGUGGGGAAUAUUGCGCAAUGGGCGAAAGCCUGACGCAGCGACGCCGCGUGGGGGAUGACGGCCUUCGGGUUGUAAACCUCUUUCAGCAGGGACGAAGCGAAAGUGACGGUACCUGCAGAAGAAGCACCGGCCAACUACGUGCCAGCAGCCGCGGUAAUACGUAGGGUGCAAGCGUUGUCCGGAAUUAUUGGGCGUAAAGAGCUCGUAGGCGGUUUGUUGCGUCGGCUGUGAAAUCCCGAGGCUCAACCUCGGGUCUGCAGUCGAUACGAGCAAACUAGAGUGUUGCAGGGGAGACUGGAAUUCCUGGUGUAGCGGUGAAAUGCGCAGAUAUCAGGAGGAACUCCGGUGGCGAAGGCGGGUCUCUGGGCAACAACUGACGCUGAGGAGCGAAAGCGUGGGGAGCGAACAGGAUUAGAUACCCUGGUAGUCCACGCCGUAAACGUUGGGCGCUAGGUGUGGGGCUCAUUCCACGAGUUCCGUGCCGCAGCUAACGCAUUAAGCGCCCCGCCUGGGGAGUACGG
rnacentral:rRNA from 1 species